UACAGAGGGGGCAAGCGUUGUUCGGAAUUACUGGGCGUAAAGGGCGCGUAGGCGGCCUGUUAAGUCGAACGUGAAAUCCCCGGGCUCAACCCGGGAACUGCGUCCGAUACUGGUAGGCUUGAAUCCGGGAGAGGGAUGCGGAAUUCCAGGUGUAGCGGUGAAAUGCGUAGAUAUCUGGAGGAACACCGGUGGCGAAGGCGGGUCUCUGGACAGUUCCUGACGCUGAGGCACGAAGGUCAGGGGAGCAAACGGG
rnacentral:rRNA from 1 species